AUUGAACGCUGGCGGCAUGCUUUACACAUGCAAGUCGAACGGUAACAGGCCUUCGGGUGCUGACGAGUGGCGAACGGGUGAGUAAUGCAUCGGAACGUACCCAGAGGUGGGGGAUAACGCAGCGAAAGCUGUGCUAAUACCGCAUGUGAUCUGAGGAUGAAAGCGGGGGACCGAGCAGCAAUGUUUGGCCUCGCGCCUUUGGAGCGGCCGAUGUUUGAUUGGCUAGUUGGCGGGGUAAAGGCCUACCAAGGCGACGAUCCGUAGCUGGUCUGAGAGGACGACCAGCCCAGCUGGGUCUGAGGCACGGCCCAGUCCCUUACGGGAGGCGGCAGUGUGGACUUUUGGACAAUGGGCGCAAGCCUGAUCCAGCAAUGCCGCGUGCGGGAAGAAGGCCUUCGGGUUUUAGUCCGCUUUUGGCAGGAACGAAACGGUGUCCGCUAAUACCGGGCGCUAAUGACGGUACCUGCAGAAUAAGCACCGGCUAACUACGUG
rnacentral:rRNA from 1 species